CACAAAAGAUUUCUUUCGAAAAUAAAAAAUUGCGCUCAAACCCUGUAUUUCACUCUCUCCUUCCUCCAUCUUCUCCACUUUCCGUUUUUAGGUCACUUCUUCAACUUUACUCACACUACUCAGAAAAUUCACCGAAAUACCACCGAGGACCACCUGUUUGUCGCGUCUCUCUCCACCGAGGACCCACAAUUCCGGUGGGUGGCUACAUGUCGUCUGCAGCUCUCCUCUGUUCGUCGUGUUAGGGUUUCGUGCUUCCCCUUUUUGUUCUUCAGUUCACAGGAGGCUUCGGUGAGGAAACUAUGAGAGCAUUCGAUCACUUGAGAGACAGCUGCAGAAUCACCAAUAAUCUGUACAGUUGCUAAACCGAAUAGCAGUAACAGAACCACCACUGCAUGGCAACCGCUAUCAGUCUGGGGCAGACCUGAGUGAGAUUGGAGUAAUCAACUUCGCCAAAUGAAGUUGACCCGGUUUGACCAGGAACUAACCCAGAGUUCUAACUGCAACCCCAAUCCAACAGAACCAGCAACGUCCAAUGUGUGAACUGAGGCAACAUUGUAGCAAGCGUACCUGAAAUAAGCAACAUUUAGAACCGGCAGCAUUUAGAACCGGCAGCAUUCAGAACUGAGGCAACAUUCAGAUCGGCAGCAGAAUCACCAACAAUCUGUAUAGUUGUUAAACCAAAUAGAAGUAACAGAACCACCACUGCAUGGCAACCGCUAUCAGUCUGGGGCAGACCUGAGUGAGACUGGAGUAAUCAACUUCGCCAAAUGAAGUUGACCUGGUUUGACCAGGAACCAACCCAAAGUUCUAACUGCAACCCCAAUCCAAAAGAACUAGCAACGUCCAAUGUGUGAACUGAGGCAACAUUGUAGCAAGCGUACCAGAAAUAAGCAGCCUGUAAACCCACCACCCUCCCUGCAUCCUCGAACAAAAACCCAGCCUGUCGCUCCGGCCUCCUUCCCCCACCGCCACUGAGCUCUACCUUCUUCCAGAUGGAACUAAUUCAGGACUCAGCAGUUCUCGCACAGUAAGGUUGCCAGAUAUGCGAUUGCAUAUGUUGUACACAUUGUCGUGGCCUGAUAGCUGCUCUAAAAUAACUUGGCCACGCCUCAAUCUUUGCAAGUAUUCAAUAAUCCGAGGGAGCGGCCUUUCACCUUUGAGGAGAUAGAUGAAGUUCGAGAAAUGUUGGCAAACUUCAUUACCAGUGAUUGUCUUUGAUAUUUUCUUGUACUGAAUUUUAAAUUAUGGAUGCUAGUUUUUCAUAUGAUUGUAAUGUAAUCGACUUUUAUAUUUACAAUUAUAUACUAUUUAAAUUAAUUAUCUAUAUAAUUGGAUAAUUUUUAUAUGA